GACGAACGCUGGCGGCGUGCCUAAUACAUGCAAGUAGAACGCUGAAGGAGGAGCUUGCUUCUCUGGAUGAGUUGCGAACGGGUGAGUAACGCGUAGGUAACCUGCCUGGUAGCGGGGGAUAACUAUUGGAAACGAUAGCUAAUACCGCAUAAGAGUAGAUGUCGCAUGACAUUUGCUUAAAAGUUGCAAUUGCAUCACUACCAGAUGGACCUGCGUUGUAUUAGCUAGUUGGUGAGGUAACGGCUCACCAAGGCAACGAUACAUAGCCGACCUGAGAGGGGGAUCGGCCAAACUGGGACUGAGACACGGCCCAGACUCCUACGGGAGGCAGCAGUAGGGAAUCUUCGGCAAUGGACGGAAGUCUGACCGAGGAACGCCGCGUGAGUGAAGAAGGUUUUCGGAUCGUAAAGCUCUGUUGUAAGAGAAGAACGAGUGUGAGAGUGGAAAGUUCACACUGUGACGGUAUCUUACCAGAAAGGGACGGCUAACUACGUG
rnacentral:rRNA from 1 species